rnacentral:rRNA from 1 species
GACGGGACCCGCACAAGCAGCGGAGCAUGUGGUUUAAUUCGAAGCAACGCGAAGAACCUUACCAGAUCUUGACAUCCAAUUGACCAUCUUUUAAUCGAGAUUUUGCCUUCGGGUACAAUUGAGACAGGUGGUGCAUGGUUGUCGUCAGCUCGUGUCGUGAGAUGUUGGGUUAAGUCCCGCAACGAGCGCAACCCUUGUGUUUAGUUGCAAACAGGUCAAGCUGUGCACUCUAGACAGACUGCCGUGGACAACACGGAGGAAGGUGGGGAUGACGUCAAAUCAUCAUGCCUCUUAUGAUCUGGGCUACACACGUGCUACAAUGGCCGGUACAACGGGCAGCGAAGGAGCGAUCCGGAGCGAAUCCUAAAAAGCCGGUCCCAGUUCGGAUUGCAGGCUGAAACUCGCCUACAUGAAGUUGGAGUUGCUAGUAAUCGCGAAUCAGAAUGUCGCGGUGAAUGCGUUCCCGGGUCUU